rnacentral:rRNA from 1 species
CCUACGGGAGGCAGCAGUGAGGAAUAUUGGUCAAUGGCCGAGAGGCUGAACCAGCCAAGUCGCGUGAGGGAAGACGGCCCUACGGGUUGUAAACCUCUUUUGUCGGGGAGCAAAGCGAACCACGUGUGGUUCAUUGAGAGUACCCGAAGAAAAAGCAUCGGCUAACUCCGUGCCAGCAGCCGCGGUAAUACGGAGGAUGCGAGCGUUAUCCGGAUUUAUUGGGUUUAAAGGGUGCGAAGGCGGAGGUGCAAGUCAGCGGUCAAAUUGGGGGGCUAAACCCCGUACUGCCGUUGAAACUGCAUGCCUUGAGUGCGCGUGAGGUAUGCGGAAUGCGUGGUGUAGCGGUGAAAUGCAUAGAUAUCACGAAGAACCCCGAUUGCGAAGGCAGCUUACUAAGCUGUGACUGACAUUGAUGCUCGAAAGUGUGGGUAUCAAACAGGAUUAGAUACCCCUGUAGUC